UGACUUAAAAGCUCAGGCAGGACCUUCAGUAAGUUGUGGAUAAAUUUGUUGUGCAAGUAUUUCAGUGAGCUGAACCGAUGUGUAGUGGAAUAAAUUCCUCCAUGGAAAUGAGAGACUGAUGAUGCAAAUGAUUAACGGAAAGCUUGCAUAUCAUAACUGCGAAUUUUAUCACGACUGUGCUCCAACAUUAGGACCUGGUUCUAUCCUCUUCAUCCAUUUCCAGCUGUGUGAAGAAAGCAAAGAGGACUUUUAA
rnacentral:lncRNA from 1 species